AGCGGCGAACGGGUGAGUAAUACAUCGGAACGUACCUUUUAGUUGGGGAUAACGCAUCGAAAGAUGUGCUAAUACCGAAUAACCUCUGAGGAGGAAAGGCGGGGAUCGCAAGACCUGUCGCUGAAAGAGCGGUCGAUGGCCGAUUAGCUAGUUGGUGAGGUAAAUGCUUACCAAGGCGAUGAUCGGUAGCUGUUCUGAGAGGAAGAUCAGCCACACUGGGACUGAGACACGGCCCAGACUCCUACGGGAGGCAGCAGUGGGGAAUUUUGGACAAUGGGGGGAACCCUGAUCCAGCAACGCCGCGUGAAUGAAGAAGGCCCUAGGGUUGUAAAGUUCUUUUGUCAGGGAAGAAAAGGCUUGUGCUAAUAUCACAAGCUGCUGACGGUACCUGAAGAAUAAGCACCGGCUAACUACGUGCCAGCAGCCGCGGUAAUACGUAGGGUGCAAGCGUUAAUCGGAAUUACUGGGCGUAAAGCGUGCGCAGGCGGAUAUGUAAGUUAGAAGUGAAAUCCCCGGGCUCAACCUGGGAAUGGCUUUUAAGACUGCGUAUCUAGAGUUUGUCAGAGGGGGGUGGAAUUCCAAGUGUAGCAGUGAAAUGCGUAGAGAUUUGGAGGAACACCAAUGGCGAAGGCAACCCCCUGGGAUAAAACUGACGCUCAUGCACGAAAGCGUGGGUAGCAAACAGGAUUAGAUACCCUGG
rnacentral:rRNA from 1 species